rnacentral:rRNA from 1 species
AGUAGUUUGAUCCUGGCUCAAGAACGAACGCUGGCGGCAUGCCUAACACAUGCAAGUCGAACGAGACCUUCGGGUCUAGUGGCGCACGGGUGCGUAACGCGUGGGAAUCUGCCUUAGGUUCGGAAUAACUUCGGGAAACUGAAGCUAAUACCGGAUGAUGACGUAAGUCCAAAGAUUUAUCGCCUAAGGAUGAGCCCGCGUAGGAUUAGCUAGUUGGUGAGGUAAAGGCUCACCAAGGCGACGAUCCUUAGCUGGUCUGAGAGGAUGAUCAGCCACACUGGGACUGAGACACGGCCCAGACUCCUACGGGAGGCAGCAGUGGGGAAUAUUGGACAAUGGGCGAAAGCCUGAUCCAGCAAUGCCGCGUGAGUGAUGAAGGCCUUAGGGUUGUAAAGCUCUUUUACCCGGGAUGAUAAUGACAGUACCGGGAGAAUAAGCUCCGGCUAACUCCGUG